GAUGAACGCUGGCGGCGUGCCUAAUACAUGCAAGUCGAGCGAACAGACGAGGAGCUUGCUCCUCUGACGUUAGCGGCGGACGGGUGAGUAACACGUGGAUAACCUACCUAUAAGACUGGGAUAACUUCGGGAAACCGGAGCUAAUACCGGAUAAUAUAUUGAACCGCAUGGUUCAAUAGUGAAAGACGGUUUUGCUGUCACUGAUAGAUGGAUCCGCGCCGCAUUAGCUAGUUGGUAAGGUAACGGCUUACCAAGGCGACGAUGCGUAGCCGACCUGAGAGGGUGAUCGGCCACACUGGAACUGAGACACGGUCCAGACUCCUACGGGAGGCAGCAGUAGGGAAUCUUCCGCAAUGGGCGAAAGCCUGACGGAGCAACGCCGCGUGAGUGAUGAAGGUCUUCGGAUCGUAAAACUCUGUUAUUAGGGAAGAACAAAUGUGUAAGUAACUAUGCACGUCUUGACGGUACCUAAUCAGAAAGCCACGGCUAACUACGU
rnacentral:rRNA from 1 species